GCGCCCAUAGCUCAGCCGGAUAGAGCAUCGGACUUCUAAUCCGACGGUCGGGGGUUCGAAUCCCUCUGGGCGCGC
rnacentral:tRNA from 4 species